CCUACGGGGGGCAGCAGUGGGGAAUCUUGCGCAAUGCGCGACAGCGUGACGCAGCAACGCCGCGUGGGGGAAGACGGCCUUCGGGUUGUAAACCUCUUUCAGUUGGGACGAAGCUUCGACCGUUAAUAGCGGUCCGGAGUGACGGUACCUUCAGAAGAAGCCCCGGCUAACUACGUGCCAGCAGCCGCGGUAAUACGUAGGGGGCAAGCGUUGUCCGGAAUCAUUGGGCGUAAAGAGCGUGUAGGCGGCCCGGCAAGUCCGCCGUGAAAGUCCGAGGCUCAACCUCGGAAAGCCGGUGGAAACUGUCGGGCUUGAGUUCGGAAGAGGCGAGUGGAAUUCCUGGUGUAGCGGUGAAAUGCGCAGAUAUCAGGAGGAACACCAAUGGCGAAGGCAGCUCGCUGGGACGACACUGACGCUGAGACGCGAAAGCGUGGGGAGCA
rnacentral:rRNA from 1 species